rnacentral:lncRNA from 1 species
GGAUGACAGCACAGUUGUUUCCAAAGCAAACUCCCUGCCUUCAUUUCUUCCCCAGAAGAAAAGUGGCAGAAGCCAGAGUGAUGUUAUUUUAAAAAAGUACCUCAGAUCAUGUCCUUUAUCAAAAUUUUUAUAACGUUCCCUUCACUUGGACUGAAUUCAAAUAUUUCAUCAUAAACUUCAAAGCCCAGCACAAUCUUCCUUCCUCCCCAAAUAGAAAAUUAUCAUACUGUGCUUCCCCCUUACCUCUCAGAUGUUCUAGUGUCCUUCUCAGUUUCUACAAUACAAAAACCCUUCUGGCUUUAACGGGUUUUCACAUGGUUUUGUUUAUGCCUGGACUUGUCCGUAAUGUCUUUAAGUAGGUGAACAUGUUUUAGCAUUUUUUUGCAUUGUCUUUAGGUAUUCAUGUUUAUUUACCAUACUUCUGGGGAAGAGAAGAUACCAGACUGUCCAGCACUAACUCCUAUGAGAGAGUCACCAUCUUUAAGGAAAGAAAGGUGGAAUUGCAAAUCCAAGAUGUCUACUAUGUGGUGAAAUCUGCUGAAGAAGAAUGAGGAAGGGCAUGCCUAGAGAGAGAGCACACACUGAAUAAUAACGGAUAUGCACAGAGGAGAUAAGACACGAGGAGGUACCCUCUACAGCAACACUGCUUCACCAGACACCAUUUAUAGUCUACAAAGUGACACACAUCUAUCAAGUGUGAAGAAAGGUUUUCUGCAGAGCUGUGUCACACCUGAUCACCUGUGCACUAAAUAGCAAAUUUAUUCCAAGACCAGCAACGUGAAGCCAUCUGACAACCUGAAGCCAUCUGAGAUACUGGAAAGAGCAUCAGAAAAUUCGAACAGAACUGCCAUCCAAGUAGAAAUCACUGGACCAUACUAUUCACCUAAUUACUUCUAUUUACUAUUUCCGUCUCUAUUUACUACUUAAAAGAAGUAUGAGUUAAAAAUGUAAAAUAAAGCUGCAAUUUUUAAUUAUGAAAAUAAAACUUGUUAAAUGACAUGCAUUUAAACUCUGAGGCAAUAAGUUAUUAUUACCCAUAUAGGUUUACUCAUCUAUAUAGAAUUGUCAUAGUGAGAUUAUCUUUCCAAUAUUGAUUGUUUCCAAUUAUGUUGAGCUUUAAAAAUAAAGAAUUAUUUCUAUUAUAGGGCAUGACCACCAUAGCCUGGUUUCUUUCUCCCAAAUCUCAAAAGAAAAAGAAAAGAAAAAUUGAAUAUACAUUUCUAAAAUGUCUCUUAGAGUCAAAUGACAAUGACGAAAGAAAGGAAACUCUCCUUUGAAAUUUGAGAAUAAAAAUUUUAUUAUCUAUCUGAGGCAGUCUAUUCUUUUUUGUUUCCAACAAAAUAGGUAUGCAAAAAUUAAUUAAUCAGUAUAGUAUACUAAGUACACUGUGAAGGAUCAAUUUAGACACUCAUGAUAAAUUUCAUGAGCUCCAUUUUUAAGCAGCUUUCAGCCUAGUAGAGAAGUGGUGUGGUGAGGAUGGUGGUGGUGGUGGUGGUGAGACUUUGUUGCAUGCCAUCAGAUAAAUGUUGAUACAUUUUGCUGCUCAUGAAAGAUCCUUUUGUUUUGUCUUGAAAUUGUUGUAUAGCUAUUAAAGAUUCUGUAUACUUAAAAGGUUUAUAGUAAUAUAAAUAAAUAAAUUACUUCUUGAUUUCUACUGUAUCAAUGAAAACAGCAAAAAUACUUAUUAGGAAAUAAUUGUGAGGUGUUCACAAAUAAAUAAACUAGAGCAGCGCAAUGAUUAGACUUUUUUUAAAUCAGAAUCUCUGAAUUAAAAAUUCUUUGCAUCACUAACCUUCUUUGUAAAUCCUGAGCAAGAUAUUUAUCUACAAACUUCAAUUUCUCCAUCUCUUAAAAGUGGAUAAUAAUAAUGUCUGCCACAUUGGUUUAAUGAUAUAAUUCGAUACACAAGGUCAUUAAGCAUUCAGUAAAUAUUGUUGUAAUUGUUGAUAAUGUAAAUAAUGUAUUAUUAUUAUUGACCUUUUGAGAACUAAUUAUAUUGACUGAUCAAGAGACUAUGUAGGUGUUAAUAUUUUAUCAGGAAGAAUUUCUUAUAUAAUUUGUAAGAUAUUCACCAGCUCUCAAACAUUAACAGAGCCACCUGAAAAUGUGUGAACUUAAAAAAAUGUUUGUUUUAGUUCACAGAUAGUAUAAACUGUGGUAGUGGCAUGGGUAUAUCAAUACUACAAAAUAGUGAUGAGUGAGAACAUUAGAAUAUGUUUGUGGCUGUCAUCUGUUUAGAAAAGCCUAUGGAGAAAAUGUGGGUGAGAAACAAGAAAAAUAAUAAGUAAUAUAUUCAUGACAGGCUUGGUAACAAAAUAUGCAAAAAGAAUUGAUGAGAUUACGUAGGACACACAAAUAGAUUGAACACCAUGUGGUAGCAAUGCUGUUUAUUAUGCAAAAAAUAUGUGUAAGAAACUUUAGAGGGGUGUUUAGCUUAAACCAAUUCAUAUAUUCCUAUUUAUUUUGAUUAGAGGAUGUGUUAGUAGGAUAAGAAAAAAGUUAGUACCCUUAAUGUAAAGAGCAUAUUAUUAUUAUUUUUUCAAAUUUCACAGCAAAUUGAAAUCACACUUAUACCUGGAAAAGAAACUGCUCUGCAAAGUCUAUUCAGUCAUCUCUCAGUAUCUGUGGUAGAUUGGUUGUGGUGAGACCCCUUCCAGACAUUGCAAUUCACAGACAGUCAAGUCCCUUAUAUAAAAUGGUGUACUUGCGUAUAACCUACACACACUGCUGGCCACUUUAAGUCAUCUCUAGAUUACUUACACUACCUAAUAUGAUAUAAAUGCUACAUAAAUAGUUGUUGUAUUUAAUUGUUUAAGGAAUAAUGAUAAGAAAAAAAUGUAUGUAUGUUCUGUAUGGACACAACUAUCCAUUUUUUUCCAAACAUUUUCUAUUUGAGGUUGAUUGAAUCUAUAGAUGUAGAACCCAAGGAUACGGAGGGCCCAUUGUAUACAAUAGCCAAAUUACUGUAGAUAAAACGUCUUAUAAGGUAAAUGCAAAUACAGAAUGAUAUAGCACUUAUAUAAAUUUUUUACAGGGAGAAAAGUAACUAUAUCUGUGUAAAGUUGUAUGUUUACUUUUGAAAACAGUGUUUUGUUCUGAUCCUAAUAUUAUAAUACUUUCCUGGUAAGCAUUAAUUAGCUAUAUCACAAAAGUACUGUUUUUUUCUUUAAGCUAUCUAGGCAUAAAUCUUUUACUAUCAAUUCCACUAAAAGACAUUUUUCAUUAUAUCUACCAUUUAUCCGACACAUUAAGGCCUUUCAAAAUAUCCCAGAUUAAGUGGGGUCUUAUUAAUACACAGUAUGUUGUUUACUCCAUGUAGAGAAUACGCAGUAGACUAUCAAGUGUGAGAUGAUUUUUCAAUAGAAGAAACCAGCUUUUUUAGUUAAUUUUACCAAUAUAACUGAUAAUGCAUAAUGAAUUCCUAAGAUCAAAUCAUUCUCAAGUUUUUGUUUUGUUUUGAAUAUAAACUAGCUUUUUCAAACUUUCCAAUUGUACAUUAGGUAAUGAAUGAAAUGACACAAUUAACAUGAAAAUUGUAUUAAGAAAGGGUUUCUUUCAUAUAAAUAUAUAACACAUUGUAUAAAAUCUCUUCUUUUAGAUUAUUUAGUUGUAUUCUUUCCUCUGACAUGCAUUCUCUAAUUUUUAAACUAAUGUUUUUCUCACUAAUUUAGGCAAACUGUCUAGUUUUAUUUUGUUUCAAAAUUAAAAUAUACUUAGAAGAUUUUCCAAUGUAGUUACUUUUCAAGUUAUUUGAUCUUCAACUGUAGAGAGAAAUAAGCAACAAGAUAAAGUAUAGUCACACAUAGCUUAUUGUUGUUGCAGCAGGAACAAUGUUUGUUGGUUUUAAAUAUCAUAUGAGAUGUUCCAGCUAAUGCCAUUAGUCAGGAAAAUAAAAUAAUAGAUAGAUAGAUAGAUAGAUAGAUAGAUAGAUAGAUAGAUAGAUGAUAGAUAGAUAGACAGACAGAGAUAUAAAGAACUGAAACUGUAUUUGCUCACAGAUAACAUUAUUGUUUAUGUAGAAAAUCCCAAACAAUCAACAGCAAUAAUAAAAACAAAAAAACUGCAAUAUGCAAUUAUGGCAAAGUAAUAAGAUACAAGGUUAAUAUAUAAUAGCCAAUUGCUUUCUUAUAUACCAUCAAUGAACAGUGGAAUUUGAAAAUUGUAUAAUACCAUUUAUAUUUCCAAAAAAAUUAAAUACUUAAAUAUAUAUUUAACAAAAUGUGUAUAAGAUCCCCAUGAGGAAAACUACAAAGCACUGAUAAAAUCUAAAUAAAUAGAGAGAUAUUCUGCAUAUGUGGAAAGUCUCAAUAUUGUCAACAUGUUGGAUUCUUCUGGUUUGAUCUACAGAUUCAAUAUAAUCCCAGUGAAAAUCCUGGCAUGCUUUUUGUGGAUAUGAACAACCUGAUUCUAAGUCUGUGUGGAAAGGCAAAAGACACAGAAUAACCAAGGAUAUUAAAGGAGCAGAACAAAGGCUGUCCAGGGCUGACACUACUAUAGUUCAAGGCUUACUAUACACCUAUAAUAAUCAGUGCAGUUGAUACUGACAAAGUAAUAGAUAAAUAGAACAAUGGAAUAAAAUAGAGAACCCAGCAAUAGACCAAAACAAAUACAGUCUGCUGAUCUUUGAUGAAUAAUUGAAGGCAAUUUAAUUAAGAAAGGAUAAUAUUUUCAACUAAUGAACCUGCAAAAAUUAAUAACCUAGACAUAGAGCUCAUAUGUAAAUGUAAAAUGGAAAUAUAAAACUCCUAGAAGAUAGUGUAUGAGAAAAUCUAGGUGACUUUGGGCUUAAUAAUGACUUUUUAGGUACAACAAAAACAGGAUCUAUGAAAGAAAAACUGGAUAAAUAAAUUCAUUAAUAUUAAAAACCAUUAUUCUUUUUAAAAAAUGAAAUUACAAAUAACAGACAGGGAGAAAGUCAUAUGAAGGAUCUGUGUCCAAAAUAUAGAAAGAACAUUUAAAAAUCAACAAUAAGAAAAUGAACAGCCCAAUUUAAAAGGGGGCAAUAAAUCUGAAUAGACACCUCACCAGAAAAGAUAUACAGAUGGCAAUCAAGCAUUCAAAUUAUGGUCCACAUGAUAUGUCACUAGAGAAUUAAAAAUUAAAUAUAAUAAUGCAAUAUCACUACACAUUUAUUAGAAUGGCUACAAUUCAAAACAUUGACGGCAGCACAUGCUGGUACAGGAAUCCUCAUUCACUGAUGUUGGGAAUGCAAAAUGGUACAUUCACUUUGGAAGAUGGUUUAAUAUUUUCUUACAAAUCUAAACAUACUCUCACUAUAUGUUCCAGCAAUUACACUCCUUGGUAUUGUUUCAAAUGAUUUAGAAACUUACAUCCACACACAAAAAAAUGUUAUGUAAUGUUUACAUAAAAUUUAUUUCUGAUUUCCAUACUGGGAGGCAGCCAAGAUAUUUGUGAUGAGUCACUUUUUCUGUGUCAAAUUGACUGGAUCAUGGAGUCAUGGAUUCCACAGAUAUUUAGUCAAACAUUAUUUGGGUGUGUCUGUGAGGGUGUUUUUGGAUGAGAUUUACAUUUAAAUGGUAGGCUGAUCCCAUUCUUUCUAGUAAAUAAAGAAACCAACAGACAGGCAGACAGGCCGAUAAACACAUACAUUCUAUUGAUUGUUUCUCUGGAGAACACUGAGUAAUACAGUGUCCUUCAAUAGAUGAAUGAAUACCUAAACUGUGGUACAUCUCUACUGUGGGUUAUUACGCACUAAUAAAAAGAAAUAAGAUACUAGCCAUGAAAAGACAAGGAGCACCAUAAAUGGGUACUGCAAAGUGAAAGAAGCCAAUCUGGGAAUAUUUAAUACUACAUACUAUAUGAUUCCGACCAAAUGACUUUACAGAAAAGAUAAAACUAUAGGGACAGUAAAAUGUCCAGUGGUUGACAGAGAUUCAGUAAGAGGGAGCAAGAGGUAAAUUGGUGAAAUACGAAAGAAUAUUAGUGUAGUGUAACUAUUCUGUAUAAUACAAUAGUGGUGGAUAAAUGAUAUUGUAUACAUUUGUCAGAACCUAUAGAAUGUGCAAUUCAAUAUUGAACCCUAAUAAUGGGGAAAACUGGAGGGAUAUAACAGGGUAAAUAGGAAUUAUCUGUACUACCAUUCAUUAUCCUGUAAAACUAAUACUGCUAUAAAUAAUAAAGUUUAUCAAUGUUUAAAAAAAUCUCAAUAAUUUUUUAAAAAUAAAAUAAAGCAG